GACGAACGCUGGCGGCGUGCUUAACACAUGCAAGUCGAACGGAAAGGCCCUGCUUUUGUGGGGUGCUCGAGUGGCGAACGGGUGAGUAACACGUGAGUAACCUGCCCUUGACUUUGGGAUAACUUCAGGAAACUGGGGCUAAUACCGGAUAGGAGCUCCUGCUGCAUGGUGGGGGUUGGAAAGUUUCGGCGGUUGGGGAUGGACUCGCGGCUUAGCAGCUUGUUGGUGGGGUAGUGGCUUACCAAGGCUUUGACGGGUAGCCGGCCUGAGAGGGUGACCGGCCACAUUGGGACUGAGAUACGGCCCAGACUCCUACGGGAGGCAGCAGUGGGGAAUAUUGCACAAUGGGCGGAAGCCUGAUGCAGCAACGCCGCGUGCGGGAUGACGGCCUUCGGGCUGUAAACCGCUUUCGCCUGUGACGAAGCGUGAGUGACGGUAAUGGGUAAAGAAGCACCGGCUAACUACGUG
rnacentral:rRNA from 1 species